AAACCAGCACCUCAAGUGGUCAGGAGGAUUAUUGGGCCUAAAGCAUCCGUAGCCUGCUCUGUAAGUUUCCGGUUAAAUUCAUUAGCUCAACUAAUGGCCUGCCGGGAAUACUGUACAGCUAGGGAGUGGGAGAGGUAGACGGUACUCGGUAGGAAGGGGUAAAAUCCUUUGAUCUAUCGAUGACCACCUGUGGCGAAGGCGGUCUACCAGAACACGUUCGACGGUGAGGGAUGAAAGCUGGGGGAGCAAACCGGAUUAGAAACCCGGGUAGUCC
rnacentral:rRNA from 1 species